rnacentral:hammerhead_ribozyme from 1 species
AGCCGAAACGGCCCCACCCGGGGCCGUCUGCCGGGAAUGGCCGUCCGGCACUGACGAUGGCAGGCCAGC